rnacentral:lncRNA from 10 species
UUUGGCAAACGUCUAAUGACACAGAGCCACCAUUGCCAAUUUCACCACUGUCUUUCACCAAGUUGAUUCAUUUUGAACUGGCUCCAGCAAUCUACUCAGAGUUGACCUCAGAGCAAAAAAUUGAACAACAGCUCCAUAUGUUGAUGUGAACUGUGACUCCAGGAGAACGGUGGAAAAGUGUCUUGAUCCAGGAAGGAAGGGGUAUAGAGAAAAUAUGAGUCUCACCACACUAGAAGCAACAUAUGCAAAAUCCAUCAAACACACCAUAAAAUCAAUGUGGGAGUAACAACACCUUGGCCUACUGCUCCCUGAAAAGUUUUUCUCUCGUCAAGUGAUGACAGGCGUACAUUUGUAAAUAAAUUACCAAGUUGCUUUUGAUUUGAUGGAGAAGGAAGAAAAGGAUUGUCUCCUGGAAGUAUUUUUAUUGUCUUAAUAGGUAGGAUAAUAUCUCUGUUCAGCAAACUGAGAUCUUUUGAGAAUCUUAACAAAUGUAUACCCCUCCCUCUCACCUUUUCCUCUCUGGUGUAUUUCAUAGGCAGCUUUGCUAACUGACUGCACUACUACAAAUAGAUUCUGUCACUUUAGAAAUAGGAUUUUUCCUUUUAUAGGCAGAUUGAUGGACUAAGUGUCAAGGUUUUAGAACAGUAGCAUGACUGGGGCAGACACUAUAAACCAUAAAUCCAGUAUUGACAAAUGUUCUAGCCAAUCCAGAUUUUCUAUUUGUUAAAUUGCCUUUAUGAAGUCAUACUUGUGCAGCACAGAAUAUGGAAAAUAAUUGACAAGUUCUGAGAAGCCAGUUACUGAGCU